rnacentral:misc_RNA from 1 species
CAAUCGGAGCGCGUACAGCCU